UCCGGUCGGUCCUUAUACAUCUCCACUUAUCAGGUUAGUCCACAAAUCUCGAGGUGUGAUGGACGGUUUUGAUACUUGGAAGGUCCGAAUUGUUUCCACCGGCUUGACGGCCCUAUAAAUCGUAAACCCCGAAGGGUCUCCGCUGAUCGCGUUUCUUUGGCACCCCCGGCGACGACGAAUUCCUUGCUACUGAGGCAAAGCUUCCUCGCAUGGUUAAUCCGAGCGCCCGCGCCCCCUCCAACCAAUCUCGAGAAAGAGAAGGUGCAAUAUCUUUCUACCUCGUUUGAUUCGAAUUCGGAUGAGGGAAAAGGAAUCAUAAUUAGCUUCCUGUUUGUUUGAUAUCAAAUCUGGUUUCCUGGACUUGUCAGAUUCUUGCUGCAUUGACAAAUGCCUGGUUUUAUGCUCUUAAUCUACUCUUUUGUCAGCAAUACACGCUUUGAUUUUUAGGGUUUUUGAUGAAAUCUGGCACAUUUCGGUUUGUGUUUAUAAAUAUGGAGGCCGGAUUCAUCUCAUCAAUUUAGCGGACUAGUCAUAGAUCCUUGUAACGUGGCCGUGAGUCUGGAAAAGAACUGUCGUCUACCGGGCUUCCGACCCCCAUGCCUCGGGCAGAGGCAGGGUCGAGUUUCCCGAUCUCUCUGCCUUGGUGAAGGUGGGGGUUGGGCUUCUUGACCUCUAUGCCUCGGCGUAAGCUCGACCUCUCUUAGGCUUCCAUGGGCAAUGGAAAUGAGGGGCGACAGUGAGAUGACAUCGGCAGUAGCGAUGAGUACUGCUUCAGGGGCUCUUCAGGUGGUUGCUUGAGCAAUUGAGGCGAUUGCCGGAGGGGAAGCCCUUUGAUACCUUGCAGGCGAGCCUCUUCAGAGGGAAGUUAGACGAUUUCGACGCAGCAGAUUGAUCAUGUUUUUGCAUUGGAGCCAUCAAAUCUCCAGCUCAAGAAACAGAACAACCGAUAAAGAUUACUCCCACGAAGGCACACGAUCUAAUCCGAGGCAACCAAACCCUUUAUCACCUUCUAUGAUUCCAAUCGAAUUGACCCCCUCGGGUCGAGUGGCAACAUCGCGAAGAUUAGCAAAGGAGGCCUGGGGUAUGCAAGGCCUGCUGCGUGGAUGUGUGAAUCGAGGGAUACGAACAGCAGAAGACAGGGUGCGCGGCAACCGGUGGCGAGGAGGGUCGAGUAUCCACCGAGGAGCGAUGGUGGGCGGAAGAGUUGGAUCGUGUGGUCUCUCUUUGGAUGCGGGAAAUUUUCGGGUCGAUGGGUAGCGCAGCAAGGAAGCACUAUCUCUCUAUGCCUCAGUGAAGCGGGGGUUGGCUUCAUGAUCCUCUGCCAUGAUAAAGGCAUGUGUUAGUUUUUCUAGCCUCCAUGCCCGGGCGAGGAGGGUUAGGUUUUUUCGAUCUCUCUCCCAAGGCAAGGGUCAGGCAUAAGUCGGAGGUUGAGUUUCUGGACCUUCUUACUUCGGGCGAAGGUGGAGUUUGCAUCUCUUUUCUUAUUACGUGGAGGCCUAAUUUUUCUUGAGAUCUCUCUCUCUUUUUUUUUUUUUUUUUAAUUUAUGAACUUUUAGGCUAAUGAGUUACGUUGGGUAAUAGCCUACCCACCUUGAGUAAAGGAGGGAGUCAAUGUUCGGCUUCAAUGUUUCGGACACUCUUUCUCUUAUGUUUCUCAUUGUGGCAUACUUACUCUUAUGUGGGUCGGGUUUUUUCGACUCAUGUGUCUUGGACACAUCUCGCUUUGUGCCUCCCGUCAUAAUAGAUUUUUUCUUAUCGGGGUCAUGUUUUCUCAA